AUUGAACGCUGGCGGCAUGCCUAACACAUGCAAGUCGAACGUGAAAGAGGGGCAACUCUCGAGUAAAGUGGCGGACGGGUGAGUAAUACGUAGGAAUCUGCCCUAGAGUGGGGGAUAACCUGCCGAAAGGCGGGCUAAUACCGCAUAAUCUCUACGGAGAAAAGGUGCCUUGUACUUGUACAAGGUUUCGCUUUAGGAUGAGCCUACGUCGGAUUAGCUAGUUGGUAGGGUAAAGGCCUACCAAGGCAACAAUCCGUAGCUGGUCUGAGAGGACGAUCAGCCACACUGGAACUGAGACACGGUCCAGACUCCUACGGGAGGCAGCAGUGGGGAAUAUUGGACAAUGGGGGAAACCCUGAUCCAGCAAUGCCGCGUGUGCGAUGAAGGCCUGAGGGUUGUAAAGCACUUUCGUUGGAGAAGAAAUGCUCAAAUAUAAUACAUUUGAGAGAUGACGUUAUCCAAAGAAGAAGCACCGGCAAACUCUGUGCCAGCCGCCGCGGUAAUAC
rnacentral:rRNA from 1 species